rnacentral:rRNA from 1 species
AAAUAAUUAAUUUUAUUUUAAAAUUUUAAUAAUUAAUUUUUAUUUUAAAUUAAAUAAAUUUAUAAUAAAUAAUAUUUAUAAUUAUUAAUUAAAAUUGUGCCAGCAAUUGCGGUUAUACAAUUAAUAAAAAAUAAAUAUUUUUAAAUUUAAUUUAAAAAUAUUUAAAAAUUAUAAAUUUAAAAAAUUAAAUUUAAUUAGUAAAAUAAUAAAAUUUUUAAUAAAAAUUAAUUUAUAUUAGAAAUAUAAUUUUAAAAUUAAAAAAUUUUUUUAAAAACUAGGAUUAGAUACCCUAUUAUAUAAAUUAAUAAUAAUUUAAAUUUAAUUAGUAAAAUUAUUGAAAAUUAAAGAAUUUGACGGUAUUUAAAUCAUUUUAGAGGAAUUUGUAUAGUAAUUGAUAAUCCACAAUUUAUUAAACUUAUUAUUUAAAAUUUUGUAUAUCGUUGUUAUAAAAAUAUUUUUUAUAAAUUUAUUAAUAUUUAAAAUUUUAAAUUAAAAUUUAUAUCAAAUCAUGAUACAAUUAAUAUAAAUAAGAAAAAUAUGAAUUACAAUAAUACUAAAAAUUAUAAUUUUUUUUAUGAAAAAAUUAAAUUUAAAUUGGAUUUAAUUGUAAUUUAAAAUAUUUAUUUUAAAUGAUUAAAGUUUUUAAAUAUGUACAUAUUGCCCGUCACUCUUAUUAAAUUAUUAAAAUUAAUUAAGAUAAGUCGUAACAAAGUAGAAAUAUUGGAAAAUGUUUCUA